UAGGUCUUCUCUGCAAACCUUAGCACUAGGGAGUAACAAAUUCACGGGGAACCUUUCAAGGGAUGUCUGGAAUAUUACUACGCUCACAUAUUUACACCUUUCGGAAAACCAUUUUACAGGGCUUAUUCCCACUGAAUUUGGCCAACUUUACCAUUUGGAGACAUUAGUACUACAGUUGAACAGCUUGAGUGGUUCGAUUCCACAUGAGCUCUUUAACAUUUCAACUCUUUGGAGUCUUUCACUUGCCGGCAAUGCUCUGUCAGGGAUUCUUCCAAGCCAUUUAUGCCAUGCCUCUCCCUUUCUUGAACAACUUUAUCUUGCCAUAAAUUCUAUCACCGGAGCAAUACCCAGCGCUAUCUCUAACUGUUCUCGACUCACAAUUCUCUCACUUGCUGAAAACAAAUUCAAUGGUUAUAUACCUACUCAUCUCGGCAACCUAAGACUUCUUCAAGAUCUUCUACUGCAUAGAAACAAUCUUACCCAGCCACCAUCUUCUUCCUUCAUUACUUCAUUGACAAAUUGCAAGUCUCUAACUACUUUGUCAAUUGCUGAUAA